UACGUAGGGGGCUAGCGUUGUCCGGAAUCAUUGGGCGUAAAGAGCGUGUAGGCGGUCCGGUAAGUCCGCUGUGAAAGUCGGGGGCUCAACCCUCGAAUGCCGGUGGAUACUGUCGGGCUAGAGUGCGGAAGAGGCGAGUGGAAUUCCUGGUGUAGCGGUGAAAUGCGCAGAUAUCAGGAGGAACGCCGGAGGCGAAAGCGAGUGACUGGCGCGUUCCUGACGCUGAGGUGCGAAAGCUAGGGGAGCAAACAGG
rnacentral:rRNA from 1 species